ACCACCAUUCAGGCAAAUUCUACCAUCAUGAAUCCACUCCUGAUCCUUACCUUUGGGAGCCUCUGUGGCUGCCCCAUUUCAUGAUGAUGACAAGAUCACUGGGGGCUACACCUGUGAGGAGAAUUCUCUCCCCUACCAGCCGCAUCCAGGUGAGACUGGGAGAUCACAACAUCAAAGUCCUGGAGGGGACUGGAACAGUUCAUCAAUGCAGCCAAGACCAUCCGCCACCCCA